rnacentral:rRNA from 1 species
CGAACGCUGGCGGCGUGCUUAACACAUGCAAGUUGAACGGUCCGGCAUGGAAGGCUUGGCUGAAGUGUCGGGUAGUAGCGGACGGGUGAGUAAUGCAUGAGAAGCUGCCAUUGGAGGGGACAACAGUUGAAACGGCUGCUAAUACCCCAUAUGCCGGAAGGUGAAACGGAGUGAUCGCCCGAUGAGGUGCGUCAUGUCCUAUCAGCUUGUUGGUGAGGUAACGGCUCACCAAGGCGACGACGGGUAGCCGGCCUGAGAGGGUGACCGGCCACACUGGAACUGAGAUACGGUCCAGACUCCUACGGGAGGCAGCAGUGGGGAAUAUUGGGGCAAUGGGGGCAACCCUGACCCAGCGACGCCGCGUGAGGGAAGACGGCCUUCGGGUUGUAAACCUCUUUGUACGGGAAGAAGGACGUGACGGUACCGUGCGAAUAAGUCCCGGCUAACUACGUGCCAGCCGCGGC